GAUCAUCAUCUAUUCACUAAUUACGAUUCCAAUCUUUUUAAUUUGCUCGUCGCAAGCAUCAUUUCAUCAGUAAUAAUUGGACUGAGAGCACUUAUUCAUAAAGUCAUUGGCUAAGGCUCGCCUUCUUGCUUUAAUUCCAUCCUUAAAAUCAGUAGUCUUUGACUUUUGACCAUCUUUUUUCAGAAAAAGGAAAAAGAAUUGGCUAAACAAG
rnacentral:lncRNA from 1 species